GGAAAUAAAAAAGGGAAUGGGAAGGGAAAGAGGAAGGGGAAGGGAAAGAUAUACCAGAAUCAUUCUUUUUCUCUCUGUGAGUGAUCUACUUGGUCUGAACUGCAGCAGCCUGCAAAAGCAGGAAGGUGUUACAAGCAAUAGUUGUAGUGAUGGAAAAAGGCGGUGAACCUGUUUCUAACACUGUUUCUAUGACGGUAAUUUGAUAAAGAGUUUGUCAGAAGUCAACACAACAUCAAUGCAACAGGAGGAGGAGGUCAACCGCUUCAGCUUUGCUACCCAUUGCCACCUACCGUUGAAAUCGCACCAUAUCGAACUUCAGAGCUUUCAUUUCUGAAGGAUAAAGCUUAAGGCUACAGAAAGAAGGGAAAGCUUCUAAAAUAAGAAAGCUGGGAGAAGAAGAGAGCAAGGCAAGAGAAUUGCUCACCAGAACUCAACGAGCUGGGACACAGCAGUCUUCAGAACAUCAACACUAACCAUAAACCAACAGCUAACCCCAAACCCAACACCAACUCUAAUCCUAACCCUAACCAUAAUGACUUUAAUCUUAACCCUAACACAAAAUGAACCUACCCCUAAUGCCUAACACUAACCCUACAAACUAAUACUAACCCCUAAGCCUAAACUAACCCCAAACCCAACACCUAACCCUAAACCCUAGCCUUAACACUUAACACUAACAAGACUAACCCUAACUCCUAAUGCCUAGGAAUAACCAGAAUCCAGUCAUAAUCCAAACCCUAACCCUAGC